rnacentral:rRNA from 1 species
AUUGAACGCUGGCGGCAGGCCUAACACAUGCAAGUCGAGCGGUAGCACAGAGAGCUUGCUCUCGGGUGACGAGCGGCGGACGGGUGAGUAAUGUCUGAGAAACUGCCCGAUGGAGGGGGAUAACUACUGGAAACGGUAGCUAAUACUGCAUAACGUCGCAAGACCAAAGUGGGGGACCUUCGGGCCUCACACAAUCGGAUGUGCCCAGAUGGGAUUAGCUAGUAGGUGGGGUAAUGGCUCACCUAGGCGACGAUCCCUAGCUGGUCUGAGAGGAUGACUAGCCACACUGGAACUGAGACACGGUCCAGAAGCCUACGGGAGGCAGCAGUGGGGAAUAUUGCACAAUGGGCGCAAGCCUGAUGCAGCCAUGCCGCGUGUAUGAAGAAGGCCUUCGGGUUGUAAAGUACUUUCAGCGGGGAGGAAGGCGGUGAGGUUAAUAACCUUGCCGAUUGACGUUACCCGCAGAAGAAGCACCGGCUAACUCCGUGCCAGCCGCCGCGGUAA